AUUGAACGCUGGCGGCAGGCUUAACACAUGCAAGUCGAGCGGGGUGAUGGUGCUUGCACUAUCACUUAGCGGCGGACGGGUGAGUAAUGCUUAGGAAUCUGCCUAUUAGUGGGGGACAACAUCUCGAAAGGGAUGCUAAUACCGCAUACGUCCUACGGGAGAAAGCAGGGGAUCACUUGUGACCUUGCGCUAAUAGAUGAGCCUAGGUCGGAUUAGCUAGUUGGUGGGGUAAAGGCCUACCAAGGCGACGACCUGUAGCGGGUCUGAGAGGAUGGUCCGCCACACUGGGAAUGAGAACCGGCCAAGACUCCUACGGGAGGCAGCAGUGGGGAAUAUUGGACAAGGGGGGGAACCCUGAUCCAGCCAUGCCGCGUGUGUGAAGAAGGCCUUAUGGUUGUAAAGCACUUUAAGCGAGGAGGAGGCUCUUUUGGUUAAUACCCAAGAUGAGUGGACGUUACUUGCAGAAUAAGCACCGGCUAACUCUGUGCCAGCCGCCGCCGUAA
rnacentral:rRNA from 1 species